GUGAGGAAUUUUCCGCAAUGGGCGAAAGCCUGACGGAGCAAUGCCGCGUGAAGGAUGAAGGCCUAUGGGUUGUAAACUUCUUUUCUUAGAGAAGAAUAUUGACGGUAUCUGAGGAAUAAGCAUCGGCUAACUCUGUGCCAGCAGCCGCGGUAAGACAGAGGAUGCAAGCGUUAUCCGGAAUGAUUGGGCGUAAAGCGUCUGUAGGUGGCUUCAAAAGUCUCCUGUCAAAGAUCAGGGCGUAACCCUGGGCCGGCAGGAGCAACUCUGAGGCUAGAGUUUGGUAGGGGCAGAGGGAAUUCCCGGUGGAGCGGUGAAAUGCGUAGAGAUCGGGAGGAACACCAAAGGCGAAAGCACUCUGCUGGGCCACAACUGACACUGAGAGACGAAAGCGAGGGGAGCAAAAGGGAUUAGAAACCCUUGUAGUCC
rnacentral:rRNA from 1 species